rnacentral:tmRNA from 1 species
GGGGAUGUGAGUUUCGACAGAGUUUCUUACCAAUUCGAUGCUAGGGGUGGACGAUCGUUAACCACCUUAAUCAUCCGGUCAUUUUUUAGGUGCCAAUUAUACACCUAAUCUAGCUUUCGCUUAACAGCGAUCGCCGCUUCGCUCUCGAUGUCUGCUGGAGAAAUCGAAGUGUCAUAUAGCAGGCUUGCCAAUACUCAUAUCUUCUCUGAGCUAUUGGGACAUAAUUGAGAAGAUAGUUGAAAGUUAUUUCUUCGGCUUUAUACCUUUCAGCGAAACAACUAAGUCGAAUAUCUUAGUAGAUGUCGUUUUGGAAAAAUUUUGGACGCGGGUUCAAUCCCGCCAUCUCCACA